GACGAACGCUGGCGGCGUGCUUAACACAUGCAAGUCGAACGGAAAGGCCUGCUUUCCCUUGUGGAUUGCGGGUACUCGAGUGGCGAACGGGUGAGUAACACGUGAGUGAUCUGCCCCCAACUUGGGUAUAAGCCUGGGAAGCUGGGUCUAAUUCCCGAUAGGACUGCAGGGUGGUGCCUGUGGUGGAAAACGAUUUUCUAGUGGUUGGGGAUGAGCUCGCGGCCUAUCAGCUUGUUGGUGGGGUAAUGGCCUACCAAGGCGGCGACGGGUAGCCGGCCUGAGAGGGUGGACGGCCACAUUGGGACUGAGAUACGGCCCAGACUCCUACGGGAGGCAGCAGUGGGGAAUAUUGCACAAUGGGCGGAGGCCUGAUGCAGCGACGCCGCGUGGGGGAUGACGGCCUUCGGGUGGUAAACUCCUUUCGACCGCGAGGAAGCCACCUGGUUGGAAGGGUGGUGACGGUAGUGGUAGAAGAAGCACCGGCUAACUACGUG
rnacentral:rRNA from 1 species